rnacentral:misc_RNA from 1 species
GGAUGAAGAACGUAGCGAAAUGCGAUACUUGGUGUGAAUUGCAGAAUCCCGUGAACCAUCGAGUCUUUGAACGCAAGUUGCGCCCGAAGCCAUCAGGUUGAGGGCACGUCUGCCUGGGCGUCACAUAUCGUUGCCCAAUGCCUAUUGCAGUGCAAUAGGAAUUUCUAGGGCGAAUGAUGGCUUCCCGUGAGCGUUGUUGCCUCGCGGUUGGUUGAAAAUCGAGUCCUUGGUAGGGUGUGCCAUGGUAGAUGGUAGUCGAGUUAGAACGAUACCGAUCAUGUGCAUGCUCCCCAAAAUAUGGCCUCUAUGACCCACACGCGUCUUUUGACGCUCAUGACGAGACCUCAGGUCAGGCGGGGCUACCCGCUGAAUUUAAGCAUAUCAAUAAGCGGAGGA